ensembl:lncRNA
GGUAAAGUGGUGACUCGGCCCCAUUUUAAGACAUACCUGCUUUGUGGAAAUUCACUGGAUAUGUACAUAUAACCUGAAGGGUGAUGUUUCACUCUGUCUUCAUCACUCUCUCCAAGCAAGCAGAUGGGCUACAGCAGCAGAAGGCCACACCGGGUGCCGCUCCUUUCAGCUAAGAACAGGAAACGGAGGCUACAAUUCGCACAGGCUCACCAUAAUUGGACAAUAGAAGUUUGGAAAAACGAUGCCUGGUCUUAUGAGUCUCAAUUUCUGCUGCGGCAUUCAGAUGGUAGGGUCAGAAUUUGGCGUAAAGAACAUGAAAGCAUGGAUCCAUCCUGCCUUGUCUCAACGGUUAAGGCUGCUGCUGGUGGUGUAAUGGUGUGGGGGAUAUUCUUUGCACACUUUGGGCCCCUUAGUUCCAAUUGAGCAUCAUUUAAAUGCCACGGCCUACCUGAGACUUGUUCCUGACCAUGUCCAUCCCUUUAUGACUACAGUGUACCCAUCUUCUGAUGGCUACUUCCAGCAGGAUAGUGCACCAUGUCACAAAGCUCAGAUCAUCUCAGACUGAUUUCUUGAACAUGACAAUGCAUUCACUUUACUCAAAUAUCCUCCACAGUCACCAGAUCUCAAUCUAAUAGAGCAGCUUCGGGAUGUGGUGGAACGGGAGAUUCACAUCAUGGAUGUGCUGCUGAAAAAUCUGCAGCAACUGUGUGAUGCUAUCAUGUCAAUAUGGACCAAAAUCUCUGAGGAAUGUUUAUAAAUAUACUGUAGAUAGGUAUCUUUCUAUCUUUCUAUCUAUCGAUCGAACGAAUGAUCGAUCGAUCGAUAGAUAGAUAGCAUACAUGCAUACAUUGCAUUCAUGCAUGCAUUGCUAACCUUUUUUUGUCAGUGUUAAAAGUGAAUAAAAAGAAAAAACAGAUUUUAAUAAAACUACUGUAUUUAGGGCCAGAUUUACUAAACAUUACAUUUUCAUAAUGAGCAACGCAAUCUACCAAGAACAGCGCAAAG